rnacentral:tRNA from 1 species
GCCUGGGUGGCUCAGUCAGUGAAGCGUCUGACUUCAGCUCAGGUCAUGAUCUCACGGUUCGUGGGUUUGAGCCCCGCAUCAGGCU